GUAGUAAUAUAACUGUAUAACAUGAGAAAUACUAGUAACUGAUUUUUUCCAGUUAUUAAUCAAACUGUGAAUAGAAUUCUUUUAUGGCUUAUAUAUUUAAACUACUGAGGAAUCAUUCUUGAUUAUCUAUAAAUAUGUUUUUAUUAUCAGUCACAGAUAAAUGUUUUAAUCUGUAUAAAUGAAGGUAUAAUCAAGUCUUAGGAUUUAUGACAGAAUAAAAUGAAGAAAUUUUUUAGAGAUGCACAUAAUGAAGACAGUUUUAGGGCCUGAGAUCUUCAAAGAAGGUGCUGGGAUUUGGAUCCUUCAAGGAAUAUUCAGUUUAGGACAGAGAAUAUUCUUCAGUUUGAAAAACCCCAAGGAAAGCAAGGCAAUGAGAACUUUUCCUCACAUUUUUGCUCAUUAGUUGUAAUAAAACUGCAUCAAGUAUCAUCCCUCUUGCUAGGAGCCUGAGGACAUGAAUCUUGGCAAAGCCUGUUUCAGCACCAUUAACACUGACAGUAGAGAGCUCUGUGGAGCAGAUGUGGACCUGCCCUGUCCAUCACAUGAUAUAUUCAGCAUCUUCACUGUGAAAAAUACAGCCAACUUAGCAUUGCCUCUGACCCAGAGUACUUCAAAAGAGAAAGCUGAGGUGAGCACCCAGGAGGAGGCUUCCAGGCCACCAUACCACCACUGUCCCCAGCACAGAGGAGAUGAGCUGCUUGGGUGCCAACAGCAGACCCCUGUUGAAAUGAGAUGAAAUGUAAAUAAGUCUCAAAAAUCAGACUUCCAUAUCACCUAAAGAAACCCCAAAGGGAAAUGAGAUGGAACACUCUGACACUCAACCACCUGGACUCCUUGAACUAGCAACAAAAGAUGAUCUGGAAAAAAUGAAAUCAGAAAUAAUUUUUCAGAUAACAGCAGAGAUUGUGCCCAUAGUGCAAGACAUGAUUAAUAAAUCUAGAGAGGACAAAGAUAGAAAAAAUAGAGGAGGUGAGAAACAUGAUGGAAUCCCAACAUAGGAAACAAAUGGAAUCCACAAAACAAAGAAACAGAUUUCCAGGAGAUUAAAAUCUCCAUUCAAAGCCCAUGCAGCAGAAUGAGCCAAUGUGAGGACAGAAUCUCAGAUAUAGAAAACAAAAUUGCACUUAGUGACCAGGAAAAGAAAAAUUUCUUCAAAAUUGUAAGGGACAACAAGAAAUCAAUCCAGCAGCUGGUAGACAAUGCAAAGAAAAAUCAAAUAAAAAUUGAUCAGAGUCAAUGAAGAAACAGGAGAGAGUACAGAUGACAUAAAAAAAACUGUUCACAGAAGUCAUGGCAGAAAACUUCCCAAGCAAGGAAAAAGAACUUGACAUACAGAUAAGUGAGGAAUGUAGGACUCCAACUAGCAUUGAUCAAAAAAAUCUACACAUAGGCAUAUAAUACUUAGGAUUCCAGAAACCCAACAGAAGAACAAAAUUCUACAAGCAGUUAGAGAAAAGAAACAAAUCACAUAAAAAGGAAAACCCAUCAGAAUAAUAGCAGACUUCUCAAUGCAAAUUCUCAAGGCAAGAAGAGCUUGGAGUGAUGUAUUUCAAGCCCUAAAGGAAAACAGCCACCAACCCAGAUUGAUGUACCCUGCAAAACUAUUUUUCAAAAUUGAUGGAGAAAUAAGAUAAUUUCAUGACGAAGAGCACCUUAGGGACUUCAUGAGUACCAAACCAGCACUCCAAAGCUUUUUAGACAAUAUCCUAGGAAAAGACAAAAAGGAUCACAACUGCAGGAAGCCCAGCAGAAUGAAUCCAUCAGGUGCAACAAGACAUUAAAUGCGAAGGGGAGAAUCCGACAAAAAGAAAAACUCAUGACCAUGAUAAGUCAAUAUGUUAAUCAUAAUCAAUGUUAAUCAUAAUCAAUGUUAAUGAUCUCAAUUCACCAUUCAAAUAAAUAGACUGGCAGAAUGGGUCAAGAAGGAAGAUCCAACAAUAUGAUGCAUACAAGAAACACAAUUCAACAGGAAACUCAUAGAAUGAAAGUUAAAAGGUGGAAAACAAUACUCCAUGUGACAGGAACCUAAAUAAAAGCAGGAGUAGCAAUCCUCUUUGCAGAUCAGGCUAGCUCUGAACUCACCAUGUAGCCCAGCCUGAUCUCGAACUCUGGCGAUCCUCCUGUCUCAGCCUCCUGAGUGCUGGGAUCCACCACGCCCAGCAUAUACUUUUUUAAUUUCUGAAAGACAUCAAACUUUG
rnacentral:lncRNA from 1 species